rnacentral:rRNA from 1 species
UACAGAGGGUGCGAGCGUUGUCCGGAAUCACUGGGCGUAAAGGCGCGUAGGUGGCGGCCCAAGUCCAUGGUGAAAGCUCGAUGCUCAACAUCGAGUCGGCCACGGAUACUGGGUUGCUCGAGCACUGUAGGGGCAGAUGGAAUUCCGGGUGUAGCGGUGGAAUGCGUAGAGAUCCGGAAAGAACACCGGUGGCGAAGGCGGUCUGCUGG